rnacentral:lncRNA from 1 species
ACUGUUUCAGAUCCUGCUGGAAUAUUCUCAGUUUUGGUGUCGGUUUUAUCUGAAUCACUGGUUGGUGCUGGGUCAUCUUUGCUGACAAGAACAGUUUCAUCUAUUUUAACUGCUGAAGCUGCUGGAUCAUCUUUGCUGAUAGGAACAGGUUCAUCUACUGGAAUUGGUAGGGCAGCAUUUUCUGCUGGUGAUGGAUCAACUUUGCUGACGGUAACAGGUUCAUCUAUUAUAACUGGUGGAGCGGCAUAAACUACAGGUGCUGGAUCGACUUUACUGAUGGGAACAGGUUCAUCUACUCGAAGCGGUGUAGCAGCAUUUAGUACUUGUGCCAGAUCAUUUUUGCUGAUGGGAAUAGGUUCAUCUUUU